rnacentral:lncRNA from 1 species
UCAUACUUACAUUGGAUUAAUUAUGGGUUGGGUCCAAUGUACAGGCUAGACCCAAUAAUAUGUAUGGUAUAUGGUAUUUUGAGGAACUCACUAAGCUUUGUGCUUACAUUUAUGUGUUUAUGGUACUGCCUGUUGCAACGGGAAGGGUCUGGCGUGACUGUACAACAUCCCCUAGUGUUUUCCACAUUGGCUAUUAUGACAUUUACUAUGAUCAUAAAAUGAUUUAAUUACUAUAACUGGAUUUUGGGACAAAUCAAUUGGAUGGUUUAAAUGUUUUUAAAAUGAAACUUUUACUAAAAAAUUUUGGGAUCUUACACCUUACUUCACAAGCUUCACCAAAAUCAAGAAACCAAUCUCAAGAUCAAGUCACCAAGCUCUUUAUCAUGGGAAGGGGUUAUGGUUUCGAAAUGAAGAGAUAGAGGUUGAAGGAGGUGAAGUAAUACAAGAAUUAUGGUGGUUGAAUAUGGGCUAAACCCUAAAAAUCAUGGGGUUGGGAUACAACAACCACCACGUCUUUGCGUCCUUCUUGCGAUGUCAUGGUGUAUGAUGUGCACAAAUUAUACCUAUCUAGUUUUGAAUUGAUAACCUAACGAACUUAACUAGCUAGAAUGCACGUAGGCAGUGUACCUAGUCGAAUUAAAGAAUCGUCUAGGUAAGUUGGGUGUCGAUCACGGGGAAUGGUAUUUAAUUAAUAAAAUAACUAGUAAAAGGUAAACUAAGAAAGACAACUAAAAUGAGGGUUUUAUCUAAUUUUACAAGUUCAGAAAAACUUAAAUUAAAAUAACAAACUAAUGACUAAAGUAAACAACUAGAAAGACGAUUUCAAAUCAAGAAUAAUGGAUACUUUCGUUUAGCUUCGAACCCUUCCUGUUUCCUAUGGUUGAUUUCAAGACAAUGGAUUAAUUCUGCUAGCUACCAAAUAAUAGUUACUAGUCAUCAUGAUCAUACUAACUAGCAUAAGUUAAUUAACAACUUUAAACCUAAUGAUCAUGCAAGUUAAGGACACUAAAUUGAUUUUAAAGGUAAUUUGGACUUUGAAUGAUAUAAUCUACAGACUACUAUUCUUCUGUUAAGUCUAGUAAUUGAGAAAAUAUUAUGAUCAAAUACUGCACUUUAACACAAUUAAGCAACUAACUUAUCACCUAUACUAGGAUAUGGUCAAUCUCUAGCUCUAGCAAUUUAAUGGUCAUAAACAACUAGGUAAACCAAGUUCAUGCAACUAACUGUAUUUUAACUACACAAAACUUGAGACAAGGCAAUAAAGAUAGAAACUUUAACAAUCUAGGUGUAGAUUUAUCAAACAAUAUUUAAAGCAAAAACCAGCUUCAUCAAUCCAUAAAACAAGAAACCAAAUAAUAGUUACUAGUCAUCAUGAUCAUACUUACAAUGGAUUAAUUAUGGGUUGGGUCCAAUGUACGGGCUAGACCCAAUAAUAUGUAUGGUAUAUGGUAUUUUGGGGAACUCAUUAAGCUUCGUGCUUACAGUAAUGUGUUGAUGGUACUGCCUGUUCCAAUGGGAAGGGUCUGGCGUGACUGUACAGCAUCCCCUAGUGUUUUUCACAUUGGCUAUUAUGACAUUUACUAUGAUCAUAAAAUGAUUUAAUUACUAUAACUGGAUUUUGGGACAAAUCAAUUCGAUGGUUUAAAUGUUUUUAAAAUGAAACUUUUACUCAAAAAUUUUGGGAUCUUACACCUUACUUCACAAGCUUCACCAAAAUCAAGAAACCAAUCUCAAGAUCAAGCCACCAAGCUCUUUAUCAUGGGAAGGGGAUAUGGUUUCGAAAUGAAGAGAUAGAUGUUGAAGGAGGUGAACUAAUACAAGAAUUAUGGUGGUUGAAUAUGGGAUAAACCCUAAAAAUCAUGGGCUUGGGAUACAACAGCCACCACGUCAUUGCGUCCUUCUUGCCAUCUCAUGGUGUAUGAUGUGCACAAAUUAUACCUAUCUAGUUUUGAAUUUAUAACCUAACGAACUUAACUAGCUAGAAUGCACGUAGGCAGUGUACCUAGUCGAAUUAAAGAAUCGUCUAGGUAAGUUGGGUGUCGAUCACGGGGAACGGUAUUUAAUUAAUA